CACGCUGCUGCCUUCACUCGUCCUAAACAUCAAAGCCUUCAAUAGCAACAUCUCCAUCGAUCUUUUGCCUUUGAAGGUAGCGAUGUAGCAUUGCUAAGCAAGCAUCUAGUUGCCUCGAACCUCGCUAUACCAUAGGCCAUGGGAAACCUCGUCAACAGAUAGUAGGUGGAGAUGAUGAUGUGCAAAGCAUUCAGGUCAGGCC
rnacentral:lncRNA from 1 species